rnacentral:piRNA from 1 species
ACAGAGUAUUUCUGGGUGGGCAUCGAUUGU